GACGAACGCUGGCGGCGUGCUUAAUACAUGCAAGUAGAACGCUGAAGGAGGAGUUUGCUUCUCUGGAUGAGUUGCGAACGGGUGAGUAACGCGUAGGUAACCUGCCUUUUAGUGUGGGAUAACUUCUGGAAACUAUAGCUAAUACCGCAUAAGAGUAGAUGUUGCAUGACAUUGGCUGAAAAGUUUCAAUUGCAUCACUACGAGACGCAGCUUCGUUGCAUUGGCAUGGUGUAGGGGUAUCGGCUCACCUAGGCGACGAUGCAUACUAGACCUGCGAGGGGGGUCGGCCGCCCUGGGACUGUGACCGGGCCCAGACUCCUACGGGUGGCAGCCGUAGUGAUUCUUCGGCAAUGGGCGGGAGUCUGACCGCGAAACGCCGCGUGCGUGUAGAACGUUUUCGGGUCGUGAAGGUCUGUUGUCAGGGUAGAAACCGUGUGAGAGUGGAAAGUUCACACUGUGACGGUAUCUUACAAGAAAGGACCGGCUAACUACGUG
rnacentral:rRNA from 1 species